GUGUCAGCCGCCGCGGUAAUACGGAGGGGGCGAGCGUUAUUCGGAAUUAUUGGGCGUAAAGGGCGCGUAGGCGGCUGAACAAGUCAAAGGUGAAAUCCCUCGGCUCAACUGAGGAACUGCCUUUGAAACUGUUCGGCUUGAGGCCGGGAGGGGGUAGCGGAAUUCCCAGUGUAGCGGUGAAAUGCGUAGAUAUUGGGAGGAACACCAGUGGCGAAGGCGGCUACCUGGACCGGUUCUGACGCUGAGGCGCGAAAGCGUGGGUAGCAAACAGGAUUAGAUACCCUGGUAGUCC
rnacentral:rRNA from 1 species